rnacentral:rRNA from 1 species
AAAAAUUAGCGGAUGACUUGUGGCUGGGGGUGAAAGGCCAAUCAAACCGGGAGAUAGCUGGUUCUCCCCGAAAGCUAUUUAGGUAGCGCCUCGUGAAUUCAUCUCCGGGGGUAGAGCACUGUUUCGGCAAGGGGGUCAUCCCGACUUACCAACCCGAUGCAAACUGCGAAUACCGGAGAAUGUUAUCACGGGAGACACACGGCGGGUGCUAACGUCCGUCGUGAAGAGGGAAACAACCCAGACCGCCAGCUAAGGUCCCAAAGUCAUGGUUAAGUGGGAAACGAUGUGGGAAGGCCCAGACAGCCAGGAUGUUGGCUUAGAAGCAGCCAUCAUUUAAAGAAAGCGUAAUAGCUCACUGGUCGAGUCGGCCUGCGCGGAAGAUGUAACGGGGCUAAACCAUGCACCGAAGCUGCGGCAGCGACGCUKAUGCGUUGUUGGGUAGGGGAGCGUUCUGUAAGCCUGYGAAGGUGUGCUGUGAGGYAUGCUGGAGGUAUCAGAAGUGCGAAUGCUGACAUAAGUAACGAUAAAGCGGGUGAAAAGCCCGCUCGCCGGAAGACCAAGGGUUCCUGUCCAACGUUAAUCGGGGCAGGGUGAGUCGACCCCUAAGGCGAGGCCGAAAGGCGUAGUCGAUGGGAAACAGGUUAAUAUUCCUGUACUUGGUGUUACUGCGAAGGGGGGACGGAGAAGGCUAUGUUGGCCGGGCGACGGUUGUCCCGGUUUAAGCGUGUAGGCUGGUUUUCCAGGCAAAUCCGGAAAAUCAAGGCUGAGGCGUGAUGACGAGGCACUACGGUGCUGAAGCAACAAAUGCCCUGCUUCCAGGAAAAGCCUCUAAGCAUCAGGUAACAUCAAAUCGUACCCCAAACCGACACAGGUGGUCAGGUAGAGAAUACCAAGGCGCUUGAGAGAACUCGGGUGAAGGAACUAGGCAAAAUGGUGCCGUAACUUCGGGAGAAGGCACGCUGAUAUGUAGGUGAAGUCCCUCGCGGAUGGAGCUGAAAUCAGUCGAAGAUACCAGCUGGCUGCAACUGUUUAUUAAAAACACAGCACUGUGCAAACACGAAAGUGGACGUAUACGGUGUGACGCCUGCCCGGUGCCGGAAGGUUAAUUGAUGGGGUYAGCGCAAGCGAAGCUCUUGAUCGAAGCCCCGGUAAACGGCGGCCGUAACUAUAACGGUCCUAAGGUAGCGAAAUUCCUUGUCGGGUAAGUUCCGACCUGCACGAAUGGCGUAAUGAUGGCCAGGCUGUCUCCACCCGAGACUCAGUGAAAUUGAACUCGCUGUGAAGAUGCAGUGUACCCGCGGCAAGACGGAAAGACCCCGUGAACCUUUACUAUAGCUUGACACUGAACAUUGAGCCUUGAUGUGUAGGAUAGGUGGGAGGCUUUGAAGUGUGGACGCCAGUCUGCAUGGAGCCGACCUUGAAAUACCACCCUUUAAUGUUUGAUGUUCUAACGUUGACCCGUGAUCCGGGUUGCGGACAGUGUCUGGUGGGUAGUUUGACUGGGGCGGUCUCCUCCUAAAGAGUAACGGAGGAGCACGAAGGUUGGCUAAUCCUGGUCGGACAUCAGGAGGUUAGUGCAAUGGCAUAAGCCAGCUUGACUGCGAGCGUGACGGCGCGAGCAGGUGCGAAAGCAGGUCAUAGUGAUCCGGUGGUUCUGAAUGGAAGGGCCAUCGCUCAACGGAUAAAAGGUACUCCGGGGAUAACAGGCUGAUACCGCCCAAGAGUUCAUAUCGACGGCGGUGUUUGGCACCUCGAUGUCGGCUCAUCACAUCCUGGGGCUGAAGUAGGUCCCAAGGGUAUGGCUGUUCGCCAUUUAAAGUGGUACGCGAGCUGGGUUUAGAACGUCGUGAGACAGUUCGGUCCCUAUCUGCCGUGGGCGCUGGAGAACUGAGGGGGGCUGCUCCUAGUACGAGAGGACCGGAGUGGACGCAUCACUGGUGUUCGGGUUGUCAUGCCAAUGGCACUGCCCGGUAGCUAAAUGCGGAAGAGAUAAGUGCUGAAAGCAUCUAAGCACGAAACUUGCCCCGAGAUGAGUUCUCCCUGACUCCUUGAGAGUCCUGAAGGAACGUUGAAGACGACGACGUUGAUAGGCCGGRUGUGUAAGCGCAGCGAUGCGUUGAGCUAACCGGUACUAAUGAACCGUGAGGCUUAACCUU